GGGGCUGUAGCUCAGUAGUAGAACUCUUGCCUAGCAUGCAUGAGGCACUGGGUUCAAUCCCCAGCACCA
rnacentral:tRNA from 1 species